UAAACUCGUCCGUUGUGGGAGUGUGUCGCUCGUCUUUUUAUUCAUAACUGCGCGUUCUCACAAUAUAAACAACGCUGUUUGUACUUAGUUUUUCGUUAAAGUAAACCUUUGUAUCGUGAUUUAUCCGUUUUAUAUAUUCACUACCUCAAAAUAGAUGUUAUUGUCAAGAUUUCGCGAAACAAACAUUGUGCACACACUUAACUUCGCCGGUUUUGAAGAUGUAGUAUCAUCAUUUGAUCCUGGGCAUUAACAAGUCAAAAGGCUGUACUAGAAUAGUCACAACACACAUUGAAUUUAAGUAUUUACUCGCAUUUGGUUUUCGCCGAAAACUUUUCGGUGUUCGAUACACUGUAUUUGCCGUGCCUUGGAGUCAAUGAGUUUUGCAUUGCAAUUGCCUUCGAGUUCCGAUGCCUGACUUACGAGCUAAGUUAGAAUUCGAAUUUCAUUCGCUUCGUCGUUCGAUUUAAAAUAAAAUAAAUAUUGACACCCCUUCCCGCAUUUCCGCUUAACAAUGUUAUUUAUUUCACAGAUUUUAUCAGCUUCAACAAUAGUUCUGAGUGUUGCAACGAGUGAAAUACUGUUGUUGGAUGAAGCAUUGGCUAAUCCUGAGAUGACCAAGUUUAUCAAUAGGGACCAACUGGAGAGGUUCCGUGGUACUGGUGGAGGAGUCCGUAUUGAGGAUUAUGUUUUAAUUACUGAAGAUGGAUGUGUCAACUGGACUUAAGUUCCAAGAACUGUACAAGAAAUUGAAGAUUGGAUUGCCGGUGUUGAUGAUGAUUCCAAAUACAAUUGAAUGAAUUUACAACAUUUGGAAGCUGUUAUUGAUAUCAUUUUUGUUUAUUUUGUUAAGUUAUGAAAAGAGCAUUAUAUAAUUGCAUAUUAUUAUCCUGUUUUCUUGCUUGUAUUGUUGAAAAUGCUGUAUAUAUUGAGAAAUUGAGUUUGUGAUUGUGUAUAUUCUACUUCUUUGAAUAAAAUUGUAGUUUUAUAUUUUUGACUAUAAA